CUUGUCCGCAGCAACAGCCGUCGAUAUAUGCCAUCACUGGCUGAUGAAGAGGCCCACCAGCUCUCCUAUCAACAAAAUUACUUGACUAAUAUUCUCUCUCUUCUGUCAGAGCCUGUGGAGGGUGAAGGCGAAGAGUCUCUGGUUUUAACCAUGAAGGGUUUGAGCAUCUUGGUUUCCUGAUUCAAUUUGAUGAUAAGGUAUCUGAAGGAGUUCCUUUAAGCCAAGCUUAUCCCUUUUUUGCUAAUUCAGAUCCAGACAUGCCGGCUGUACCUGUUCCAGCAUCCCAAGUUCAUGAUUGGCUUAUGCAAACUAUAGCUUCUUCUUUGGAAUGUGUUACCGAAAAAGCUUCUGCAAA